UACGGAGGGCGCAAGCGUUGUUCGGAAUCACUGGGCGUAAAGCGCGUGUAGGCGGCUUGGCAAGUCGGAUGUGAAAUCCCGGGGCUCAACCCCGGAACUGCAUUCGAUACUGCCUCGCUAGAAUCUCGGAGAGGGUGGUGGAAUUCCCGGUGUAGAGGUGAAAUUCGUAGAUAUCGGGAGGAACAUCAGUGGCGAAGGCGGCCACCUGGACGAUGAUUGACGCUGAGACGCGAAAGCGUGGGGAGCAAACAGG
rnacentral:misc_RNA from 1 species